rnacentral:lncRNA from 1 species
UACUAUAAAUGACAAUUAAAUUAUAUACAUAUCUCACACAUUUCAUAUAAGGUUGUAUCAAACAUGCAAGAGCCAUAAAACAACUUUCAAAGUAUGCAAUAACACUUAAAUACUUCACACAUAUUUAGUGCCUUGAGAAUCACAUAAUACCCUAUAAUAUUAUGCUAUUUCUAGUCGAAUUAUUAAUCACACAUUGUUGUAACCCUACAGCUCUUCUAGAAAUAUUUGGGGUAGUGUCUCGCCCAAUCGAGCAUGGCAUCCGAACCCCCAUCGCGCAUCCUUUUAGGCAUCAUUCCAUAAUCAUACCCGCAAACAUCUUCCAAAAUCCUUCGAGCAUCACCCCUCCAAUGUCUCUCAAUGGCGGCAUCAUCCUCCGAAAUCUUCGGAGAUGGAAUCCCUCGUAUGACCAUACGAAUUAAACAUACAACCGGUUUUAUCUUCCACUUUAGUCCAAAGUAUGAGUGUUCCCAAGGGCAUGCCAAGCAAUGUGUAAUUCAUGACCUGUUGGAAAUGCAUCAAUAAAGUAUGACAAGCACAAAACAAGAAUCAUUGCUUGACUUGUUACAUUCGAGCACCAGCCUAAGACAAACUUGGAUCAGACAAUACAACUUAAUAUCACUGAACAAAGAGAGUGACCUGGCCCGGCAUACUUACGCACGUCCAAGAACCAACGCCAUUCUAGCUUUGGAGGCUUGGUGUGGUUUCAAGCAUUGACCAUGACCUAUGGACGUCUAUAUGCAAACACCGCAUCCAUAUUGCAUUAACAAUCCUUUACAAUCAGAUAUAGUAGUAACACACAUUGAGAAUUCAACCAACAAUAGUCAUAAUCUACAUCACGUAACACUUAUACAUUCAACCAUAACAAUCAAACAUUAAGACUAAGCCUAGGUAUCGAUAAUGAACAGUCCACAAGCAAUAAUUAUGGCAAUCUUUUUAGCACAUGCAAUCAAAUCUAAAUAGACCAUUCUACCAAUCAAGCCAAUAUGAACAAUCUCGAUGAUCACAUAUCACUCCUCGUUUAUUCCCGAACCUUAUAGUAAAAGCAUAGCAUGAACAAAUUAUACAAAAUUAUUCACAUGAGCUCUUCUACUUAGGAUAGCUCUAAUAACACUAGGACCGAACCUAAGCCAAGUUACAUAACACAACAACCUAGCCGACAUUCAUGAAAUUUACUUACGAACAAACGAGAUGUGAGACAUAGAUGGCGGGUGGACAAGGGCUCAAGGUUCAUAACCUGGCGGCAGCAUGAGGACAGUGAACAACAAGACGGCAAGUAGACAAUGAUAGCAAUGACAUCACGGUAGCAGCAAUGGUGCAACAACAGCGGGUGAAUGAACGGGUGAUGUCACGACCCCAACUCCAUUCCCAGGGUCACAACUAGCAAGGGUUAUUUUUGCAACAUCCCAGGCAUAUCGCCAUCUCAUUUCUUUUUAUCAUUUCAUUAAGUACAUGCGAAAGUGUACAUACAACACCAAGACAAAAACAAGCAGCUAGGAAAACAACCAUUUACAAACACACAAUUACAUUAGCUACGUUUACAAGACCUUCUAUCACAGGCCGUUAUAUUUACAACUACCACAUCUUCAAAAGGUCAGGGUAAACCUUAGCUCCUCUAGAAAGAUUGCAACUCCCAAAAUUGACGUGAGACUUCCAUGCCUACAAGACUGAAAGGAUGAGGGGUGAGUUUUGGGGAAACUCAAUAAGUAAAACCUGCUAAUUUCCGGGUAGGAGGAUGUCUCGCCUAUCAACAAGCAUAUAACGCAUCCAAGACAUUAGUCGAUAGCAGAUCAAUAGCAAAAUAAAAGCUUUAUCUCGGAUGAAACAUGAGAAAUCCUCAGUCAACAAUAUGCAAGCAUAACUCGAUAUUGACCCACAACAUGAGGAACUCACACCUCACUCAAUAUUAAACCAGGAUAAUUAAAAUCAAUUCUAAUACGAGGAAUGCACGCCUCACUCAUAUGCAAGCAUUUAUUGAUUAACAGUUGAAAUCCAUCAACUCUUCCAGAAUCCACCGAGCAUCCGAACUUAAUUGGGCAACGUCCCCUAAUCGAAGGUUGACGGCUAGAAUUAUCACAACAUCCCGUUCUUAUUAACGAGGCAUCCCGUUGGCAUGGGGGCAUCCUGUUGGCGAGGGGGCAUCGUCGCCGAAUUCAUUGGUCGACGGCAUAAAUUAGUCUAUCGUAUGUCCAUGCAUCAAGCAUCGCAAUCCGAUUCUUAUCUUUGCUUUAAGUUCAAGGGCCCGAAGGCAUACCAUGCGUAAAUGUGUGAAACGAUUUACCAGAACCAAGACGUUGAACAUGCCGAGCACGAAUUAAGGAUCGGGGCUCAAUCCGACACGUUUGAGCACCGAUCUAGUACCUAACUUGGCUCGGGAACGAAAUACCUUGAUAUCGUGCCAGAACCAUGAAAGGACUAAUCCAACGUGAUCUCACAUACGUUCAAGGCCAACGAAACUCCUUUUCGAAGCUCGGGAUGUGAACUAGAACAUGCAUUUGUGAAAACGGUUGGAAAUAGUUUUAUAAGGAAAUACCAAGCUUUCACAAAAAUGAUUUUCAAAUAGGUUUGUAUCAAAGCAAAAAUCAAAGCAUAUCCAAUAAACACAUGAAUUGGCUUCUUCCAAAGCAACUCAAACCAAAGCACAAGCCAAAACUCAUCAAACUAAAAUCAAACUCAAUCAAGAAACAAGGUCUAAACUGAUCCAAGCAAACACAACUGACGCUCAAGCAAGAACAUAGUCACAACGUUUCAAUCAAGGACUCACUACACGCUUGGAUGAGCGUAACACAACACCCUAACCAUAUAUUAGUAAGUUGUACUUACAACUUUCUAGAUCGGCGGCCUUAAGUGGCAGCGAACGGCGGCAAGGACACCUAAAGAGAGAGCCGAGGAGAGAAAGAUGGAGGGGUUGGUGCGGGCGGCCAAGGAAGAAGAAGAGAGGAAGAGAAAUUUG